rnacentral:rRNA from 1 species
UACGUAGGUGGCAAGCGUUGUCCGGAUUUACUGGGCGUAAAGAGCGCGCAGGCGGUCGUUCAAGUCGCGUGUGAAAGCCCCCGGCUCAACUGGGGAGGGUCACGCGAUACUGAUCGACUCGAAGGCAGGAGAGGGAAGUGGAAUUCCCGGUGUAGUGGUGAAAUGCGUAGAUAUCGGGAGGAACACCAGUGGCGAAGGCGGCUCACUGGCUCGUAUCGACGCUCAGGCGCGACAGCGUGGGGAUCGAAACAAGG